AGGCCAUAUCAUGUUGAAACCCCGGUUCCCAUAUGAUUACCGGAGAUAAAUAACGUCCAACCUGGUCAGUACCUGGAUGGGUGACCAUUUGGGAAUACCAGGUGCUGCAAG